UAUGAGAGUAGCGAUUCAUCAGUAAUUUGACAAUUUUUAGAUAUCACGCAUUCACGCUUACCAACCAUACAGAAAAACAGGCACAUUUUUGAAGCGCAGCUAGUUUUUUUUUUUUUCGCUACAGUCACGUUUAAAGCGCGCCCUAUUCUCUAAUUAUUUGGACAUCAGAUUCCCAUGAAAGAUUUAGAUUUCCCACCAAUUUUUCCUCCAAUACACUUUUAAUUCUUUUUCAGAGAACCUGACUAAGCUAAGGGAAAAAACCCUCGCAGCCCUCCUCAUCGCUGAGAACAACCAGCCCUCUCUCGCGGCCCGCUCUCGCAACCAUCCAUCGAUGCUGCCUCCGUCGGCGCACCCUCCAUUGGUGCGCCCUCCGUCGGUGCCACUCUCGCUCGCAAGGCCUCCCUCGGCGGUCACUCUCUCUCGCUCCUCCCUCAAUCGUUGCUCCACCCUCAAUCGACGCUCAAUCCUCACCAUAACACAAGAAGCUACAGAUUUAUUCUCUGUCUGUUUCAAUGUAUGCAAAUUUGUUUGUUGGAGCCACAACUCCGUCACCUCCUGAGAUUCCCCUUUCUCUGUUUUAGUUACAUGGAAAUUUUUGCUAUGGCUUUGAGUUUAACUAUUGGUGGAGGCAUGAGAAAUUGGACUGCUAACCCCAGAAGAUGAGUUUCAUUUGCAUUGGCUAAUGCUCAUCGUAAAUGCUUGCCAUGAAAUCUGGCUGUUUAAUGUAUCGAUACUUUUCCUUGCCUCACUGACCUCAACUGAUCUGGUAUAUGAUGCAAACAGCUCUAGGAUGGGGCGAUGUUGACCCAAUGUGGAUACAGAUUCAAGUCCUGAGAAUGUAAAAAUGCUGAUUGGGUUGGCGAAUGAGAUGUUGAAGCAGGAGAAUGUAGAGUCAGUGCUGUUUGGAGGGAAGCGGAUCGGCGAGCAAAGUAAUUUCGAGAAACUUGACUGGUUCGUUGGAGAACUCUUCCAAGAUAAUCAGAGGAGGAGCUGUAGAAUAACUCCCACUGUUGCUUUCAAGCAAGCUAGCCCAAAAGCGACCUAAUUCAUGGACCAACACUUGCAAGAAUCAACAUAAAGAAAAAUUAAUGGAAGAGAAAAAAAUAAGUGGCUAAUGACUUUGGUCAACUGGGUGAUGGAACUGAGGAGCGAAGGAAAUAUCCAAAGAAAGUGAAGAAAUUAGAGUCAGAGUUCAUGAAAUUUGUGUCCUACGAAGCACAUUGUUCUGCUUGCAUUGUAGAGCCUCGUGAAAAUGAUGGUACCAUUUCAACUGGGAGGCUCUGGAUUUGGGGACAAAACAGGUAAUACCUAUAUAACUUUAAAUAGUUCGUAAUAUAUUAUUGAUUCAUCAAUAUUCAUCAUCGUCAUCUGCUUGUUUAUUCUAGGGAGCAAAUCUUCCUAGAUUAUUCUAGGGGGCCUUCAAACCUAAUACAGUAAGUAUAAAUGUCUUAAGAGAUUGAUAUAAAAAUCGUGCAGGAUUUAUUGUAUUUUCCCUAAUUGUUUUAUAAUUUGCUUACCUUCUGUUUUUUCGUUGUUUAUAUGAUCAUACUUGCAGAUUAUUUGUGAAGUUUGGGGUGAUUCAAUAUCACAUUUCUUAAUUCUCUUUUUAAAAAUUCUUUUUUGUUUAUGUUUGUAAAUUUCGUGUAGGUGGUCGUUGCAUGUAUAGAGAUGACAUGGUUGUAGGCUUUUACCAAGUAUAGGAACAUAAAUUUGAGUGUUUACAAAUUGGAUUUUUAAUUUGUUUUAUUUUAUUUUCUUUGAUC